UACGGAGGGAGCUAGCGUUGUUCGGAAUUACUGGGCGUAAAGCGCACGUAGGCGGCUCGGCAAGUCAGGGGUGAAAUCCCGGGGCUCAACCCCGGAACUGCCUUUGAAACUGCUAAGCUAGAAUCCUGGAGAGGCGAGUGGAAUUCCGAGUGUAGAGGUGAAAUUCGUAGAUAUUCGGAAGAACACCAGUGGCGAAGGCGACUCGCUGGACAGGUAUUGACGCUGAGGUGCGAAAGCGUGGGGAGCAAACAGG
rnacentral:rRNA from 1 species